UAAUACGUAGGGUGCAAGCGUUAAUCGGAAUUACUGGGCGUAAAGCGUGCGCAGGCGGUUUUGUAAGUCAGAUGUGAAAUCCCCGGGCUUAACCUGGGAACUGCGUUUGAAACUACAAGGCUAGAGUGUAGCAGAGGGGGGUGGAAUUCCACGUGUAGCAGUGAAAUGCGUAGAGAUGUGGAGGAACACCGAUGGCGAAGGCAGCCCCCUGGGUUAACACUGACGCUCAGGCACGAAAGCGUGGGGAGCAAACAGGAUUAGAUACCCUGGUAGUCCACGCCCUAAACGAUGUCAACUAGUUGUCGGGUCUUAACGGACUUGGUAACGCAGCUAACGCGUGAAGUUGACCGCCUGGGGAGUACGGUCGCAAGAUUAAAACUUAAAGGAAUUG
rnacentral:rRNA from 1 species